AAUAUUAAUACUAACCGUACUCAAUAAGAAGGUUAUUUGAUUAUAUCUUGAAACGCACCUCUAUAGUAUGCGCAAUGGUUUGGUCUGUAGUAGGUGGGACUCAUGAGUGGUCAGCAGGACGUCGUAGAUCAAUGAACUGAACUGAGUUUUGAUGCCUGGGUUGGACGACACUUUGGUGGGAUUAAACCAUAUAACCUACGCAGUGUAGCCUAUGUUAGGUAGCCUACGGAUGUGACAACGCGACAAGGACAUUUGAAUCAGGAUCGAAAACGGAGUUUAUUUCAAACCCGGUCGAUAUGCGGAUUCUUUCCAAAUAAAACCCACUGGCUUUUAAUAAACGGGUCUGCAUGUAGCUGAAUUUUUGUGGGGAAACAAGCUUUUUUUUUAUCUCGGAAUAACUGGAAUAGGCUAUCCAGGAUGAUCUUUGCAAACACUGCCAACCCGUUGAAGAGCACAUAUCGGAAGCAGUCGUACCCCAUGGCUCCAGCCAGCCCCAGCACGGUGAGCACCAGCAGCAACAGCAGCACCACAGGAUGGGACCAGCUCAGCAAAACGAACCUGUACAUCCGCGGCCUGCCUCCAGCAACCACUGACCUGGACCUGGUCAAGCUCUGCCAGCCAUACGGCAAGAUCGUGUCGGCAAAGGCCAUCCUCGAUAAAACAACUAACAAAUGUAAAGGGUAUGGAUUUGUGGACUUUGACAGCCCUGCAGCAGCCCAGAAGACGGUCCAUGCCCUAAAGACCAGUGGGAUACAAGCCCAGAUGGCUAAGCAACAGGAGCAGGACCCCACCAACCUGUACAUCUCCAACCUGCCUGUGUCUGUAGACGAGCAGGAGCUAGAGGGGCUGCUGAGGCCUUUUGGACAGGUCAUCUCCACCCGCGUCCUCAGAGACUACAGCGGGGCCAGCAGAGGGGUCGGCUUCGCCAGGAUGGAGUCCAAGGAGAUGUGUAACUCAGCUAUAGCCCACUUCAAUGGGAAGUUUAUCAAGACGGCGCCUGGAACUAUGGCUCCCUCUGAGCCCCUGCUGUGUAAGUUUGCCGAUGGUCAGAGGAAGAGGCACAGCCACAGUCCAUACAUCCCCAGCGGUCGCACUUGGCCCCGAGAGGGAGAGCUCAGACUUGGCGGGAUGACUCUCACCUACGACCCCACCUCAGCUGCUAUGCAGAACGGCUAUUAUGCCUCUCCCUACACCCUAACGGCCAAUAGAAUGAUGGCUCAGCAAGCCAUGUCUCCCUACAUGUCUCCUGUCACCUCCUACCAGGUACAGAAUCCUUCCUGGAUGGCCCACCAGCCUUACAUCAUGCAACACCCACAGGCAGUAAUGUCGCCCUCUGUGGACCACACCAUGACAAUGCAGCCCACCGCCGUCAUGACACAGCAGAUGGGCCAUCUCUCAUUGGGCAGCAGUGGAGCGUAUAUUUCAGCCAACGCUGCAGUCCAGGCAGCCUAUAUUCCUCAGUACGCCCACAUGCAGCAGACAGCCGUAAGUUCCGAGGUUCGUCCUUGCCAUCUCAUUGUGUUGAUCUCCUCUCAUUCAUCCAUGUCUCAUCAUGAGUACAGCCAUUUUACAUCAAUUAUGACAUCCCAUACCAUUACUUACUUGAUGGUGCUAAUACCAGAUAUUAAGAUGUGAAGUUACACAGUUUUUCCCUCUUCAGGAAAAUGGUUCACAGCAACAAGUGGAUUCGUCCAAUAAUUCGUCUCCCUACAGUCAACAGAGCAAGUAACGAUAAGGUGACUUCUGUGAGCAGUAAUGGAUGCCUUGGGCGCUGACUCAUGAUGUCACAGUCACAGCCUCUCCUGAUUGGACCAGACCAGACUUCAGUAAGAACUCUUUUGCACAGCUUCAACCAAACAACUGUGUAUGAUGGAACCAACAGCAAUGAUACUAUGGUGUGUAAAACGAAGACAGAGGUGUAAAAAUGGACAAAACCAACAAUUAUCCCCCCCCCCUUCAAAACAGGAAGAAAUGUUUUAUUUUGAUAAACGAAAAGACGUGUAUUUUUUACCACGGAUUCUCCAAGUGGAUGCAAUGGGACAAGUAGCCUACAGCGUGAUGUUAAAAGAUGCAUGAGAUUGAUUCUUUUUUUUGUGGAAUCUGUUGACUUAAGGAAAAAGAGAUUUCCAAUGGGUUUUAUAGGUAGUUUAUGAGCCAAGAUAUAUGAUGAAAAAAAAUGUUGCUUGCAAAAAGUGUUCAUUUGGUGAGGUGUUACUGGUUUUUAUUUUUGGUCUUUAUAAGAUAUUAUCAUUCAAUUAGGCUUCUAGGGUUAAUGUCUGACAUGAUUUUCUGUAUCAGAUUAAAUAUGUAGAAUUGGCCGUUUGGCAGCUGUCAAUCAAUCUAUGAAUAGAGAACUGAUAGAGAAGCUAAAGAAGCAAAUGUUUUGCCAAAUAGAUGAUGGGUUGGAUAAUGUGCCUUCCGCUAACAUCAUAACAGUCAUUUUUCAUAGCCUGGCAGAAACCGAACUGAUUCCCUGACGUUUCACUGUUUCACUUCAUGGUGAUCACAGUAUUCAGUCUGGUCUAACCAGGCUACAUUAAAAAGAACAGCCACUCUUAAUUAGAACUCCUGUCAGUCCAUAGUAAGGUCUCUUUAGACUUUGACAGCGUAGGUGUCUUGUUUUGUCAUAUUUCACACACAGCCAAGGAUCUUGACCUCCAUCAAAUGCUACACCUACUGAUCUCAUCUCCCUAAUUAAGACAAUAUAGCCUACAAUUGAAAUAAAAAACACAAAUAGAUUUAAAAGAAAUGCAAGCUUGAAAUUGUGAGGUAACGUCAAGGCGGCUGGGUUUUUUUCUCUGCUAUUUUUUACUUCAACAGACACAGUAAUAUUAAUAGAAAAUGCCUAACUUUAAUGAUGAAAUUACAAUCUGUUUUUACUUUACGCUAAAUUGACGUGGUUGUCUUUAAAGAUUUUUUAUUUUUUUGCUCUAAUGGUCAUCUUGACCAUGUGUGGUCAUGUGUGACUGGUUUUAUCUACCUCAGAGUUCUGUCUGGGCUGGUAUGGCUGGGUUUGCAGGUCCAGCCCGCCUCACCAGAGAAGAACACAAAAGCGACGGACCAAAUCGCACCAUUUUCCUUAUGUAGUGCAUUACUUUUGACCCAUAGGCUUUUCACAUAGGGCUAUGUUCAAAACAUAGACUUAGAUAGACAUCACAUCAUUGUAUUUAUCCCAUUAUGGCAUCUGUGAGAGCACGGGCAGCUCCAUUGAAGCCAUCUCCAUUUUGAAGUGCAUUUAUUCUACUACUUCUGAGUUGGUAAACAAACUGAAAGGGUGCCCACUGCCAUCUGUGUUGUUUGAACAGGUAUAAAGAUAAGGUUGGUGAUAUACUGCCACCUGUAGUUAUGGAAUAUUUACUCACAAUUAUAAUUCAUUGGCUGAUACCUCGUGGUGACCUGGAUGGAAUUAUGUGAUCCUUCCUUAAAGGGAUACUUUGGGAUUUUGUCAGUGAUGCCCUUUAUCUACUAGCAUGCUAGCAGAUACCCAUAGACUUCCAGUCAUUGCCAUAACACUAGUUAGCAUUGGCUCGCGAAACUACCUCUAACUUCAAUGUUACUGGACACAGAAACAUAAAAAUGGUAUCCACAAAUUCAUUUGACUCUGGAGAAGUAGAUAAAGGGCCUCAUUGCCAAAAUCCUGAAGUAUCCCUUUAACCCAUUGGAAGUCCCACCCAGUUGACUACUUCAAAAUGUUGAAAGUCCUCGAUGGCGCUGCCAAGCCAAUAGGCUUCUGGGCACUAGAGUCCUCUAUGUAUCUCUAUGGGUCAAAAGCGUUGCACUCUAAAGGAAAUAGGAUGCGAUUUGGAAUGCACCCAAAGCCAAGCUCAGGAGCUGGCCAAUAGCAAUUUUUACAAUUCUUCCUCCUACUACUCUGUCCUCAAAUAAAGAAACAUUCUGUUUUGUUUAGUAUAGUAUCAUGCUGAAUCUUGUUUUUGUUGUGUUUUUCCGAUAUGAACAUUAUUACAGGUAGAAUAUGGUUUUAGCUUUAGUUUUGGAGUCUCUUAAAAGAAAAACCAAGUGCUGCUUGUCGAACAGACGUUCCAAUAGGCUGGGGAAUGAGGCGAUUCUUUUUAUUUUUUAUAUUAGAGGAAUGCAAACCCACCACGUGGUAGUGUAGGCGGCUAGACUUGAUCUAUUCUUCCCUUGAAACACACACACACACACACACCUUCGUUGUAUGGGACUUUGUGUUGGCAGUUAAUGUGGUGAGGGGGGGGGGUUGCAGAAGUCUGAAAGAUGGAAGUUUAAAUUGCAACCAUACUAUUUGUAGUCUUGCAUAGCUAGCGAUGUCUGAACCAAGUGCAAUUCUGUGUCUGGAUCAAUAGGCUAGUUGUACAGCAAAUUCCACCAACACUUGUGUGAUAAUAGACUGGCUGAUGAUGAUAAAUAAAAUGAAAUAGUAGUAAUUUAUGCAGAAAGAUAGAUUUGUUUGUUUUACAUGUCCGGGUGAUGAUGCUGCUGUGUAUCAUCAGUUAGAAAAAGAAAAAUAGGCUCAUUUUGUAUUUUUGUUUCUUUGUGUAUGUUACAGUUUCACCAGAUUGUUCUACCAAUCUUAUCCUUGUGCUUUCCUUUAUAAAAACAUUUGAAUAAAAACCCACCAUGAAUCAGCCCUA